CUUCCUUGUAUGGAGAAACUGCGAAUGGCUCAUUAUAUCCAACAUUGUUUAUUAGAUCGUACCAGUUACUUGGAUAACUGUGGUAAUUCUAGAGCUAAUACAUGCCUCGAGUCCCUGUCCGUAAGGUCAGGGCGCACUUAUUAGAUCAAAACCAACCGUCUUUCGGGGCGCUGGUUUGAUGACUCUGGAUAAUUUUGCUGAUCGCAUGGCCUUGUGCUGGCGACGUAUCUUUCAAGUGUUGGCCCUAUCAACUUUCGAUGGUAGGUUACAUGCCUACCAUGGUUAUAACGGGUAACGGGGAAUCAGUGUUCGAUUCCGGAGAAGGAGCCUGAGAGACGGCUACUACAUCCAAGGAAGGCAGCAGGCGCGCAAAUUACCCACUCUCGAUACGAGGAGGUAGUGACGAAAAAUAACGAUGCGGAACUCUUUCGAGGCUUCGCAAUCGGAAUGAGUACACUUUAAAUCCUUUAACGAGGAUCAAUUGGAGGGCAAGUCUGGUGCCAGCAGCCGCGGUAAUUCCAGCUCCAAUAGCGUAUAUUAAAGUUGUUGCAGUUAAAAAGCUCGUAGUUGGAUCUGAGGAUUCAUUUUGGUGGUUCGGCCUCGGUUGUGACUGCUGAAAUGACCUACCUGGUCGGAGCUUGCCUUUCGUGCCAUUUGUUUGGUGCGAUUGGUGCCCGGCAUGUUUACUUUGAAAAAAUUAGAGUGCUCAAAGCAGGCCGUGAGCCUGUAUAGUGUUGCAUGGAAUAAUGGAAAAGGACUUCGGUUCUAUUUUCGUUGGUUUUGAGAAUAUGAGGUAAUGAUUAAGAGAGACUGCCGGGAGCAUUUGUAUUUCGGUGUUAGAGGUGAAAUUCUUAGAUCAUCGAAAGACAAGCUACGGCGAAAGCAUUUGCUAAGGAUGUUUUCAUUAAUCAAGAACGAAAGUCAGAGGUUCGAAGACGAUCAGAUACCGUCCUAGUUCUGACCAUAAACGAUGCCAGCUGGCGAUCCGUGGCGGUUGCUUGUACGACCUCGCGGGCAGCCUCCGGGAAACCAAAGCCUACGGGAUCCGGGGGAAGUAUGGUUGCAAAAGCGAAACUUAAAGGAAUUGACGGAAGGGCACCACCAGGAGUGGAGCCUGCGGCUUAAUUUGACUCAACACGGGAAAACUCACCCGGCCCGGACACUGUAAGGAUUGACAGAUUGAAAGCUCUUUCUUGAUUCAGUGGGUGGUGGUGCAUGGCCGUUCUUAGUUGGUGGAGUGAUUUGUCUGGUUAAUUCCGAUAACGAACGAGACUCUAGCCUGCUAAAUAGUACAUCGGUAUCCAUUUGCCGAUGAUGACUUCUUAGAGGGACUCAGGCUUUCCAAGCCUACGAGAUUGAGCAAUAACAGGUCUGUGAUGCCCUUAGAUGUUCGGGGCCGCACGCGCGCUACACUGAAGGGAGCAACGAGUAUUAUUCCUGCUCCGGAAGGAGUGGGUAACCUGUUGAAUCCCCUUCGUGACAGGGAUCGGAGCUUGCAAUUAUUCUCCGUGAACGAGGAAUUCCCAGUAAGCGCAAGUCAUAAGCUUGUGCUGAUUACGUCCCUGCCCUUUGUACACACCGCCCGUCGCUACUAUCGAUUGGAUGUCUUAGCGAGAUCUAUGGAUUGGCUUUGUGGUUGUUUAAUUACGACCGCCAGGCCGAGAAACAGAUC
rnacentral:rRNA from 1 species